rnacentral:rRNA from 1 species
GGAUUAAUACCCUAUAGUAUCUUUUUAAGGCAUCUUAUUAAGAUUAAAGGUUACGGUAUGAGAUGAGUAUGCGUUCUAUUAGCUAGUAGGUGUGGUAACGGCACACCUAGGCUACGAUAGAUAGGGGCCCUGAGAGGGGGAUCCCCCACACUGGUACUGAGACACGGACCAGACUCCUACGGGAGGCAGCAGUAAGGAAUAUUGGACAAUGGGCGAAAGCCUGAUCCAGCCAUGCCGCGUGCAGGAUGACUGCCCUAUGGGUUGUAAACUGCUUUUAUAUAGGAAGAAAAACUUUCUCGUGAGAAAGCUUGACGGUACUAUAAGAAUAAGGAUCGGCUAACUCCGUGCCAGCAGCCGCGGUAAUACGGAGGAUCCAAGCGUUAUCCGGAAUCAUUGGGUUUAAAGGGUCCGUAGGUGGACAAAUAAGUCAGAGGUGAAAUCCUGCAGCUCAACUGUAGAACUGCCUUUGAUACUGUUUGUCUUGAGUUAUUAUGAAGUGGUUAGAAUGUGUAGUGUAGCGGUGAAAUGCAUAGAUAUUACACAGAAUACCGAUUGCGAAGGCAGAUCACUAAUAAUUAACUGACACUGAGGGACGAAAGCGUGGGUAGCGAACAGGAUUAGAUACCCUGGUAGUCCACGCCGUAAACGAUGGUCACUAGCUGUUUGGACUUCGGUCUGAGUGGCUAAGCGAAAGUGAUAAGUGACCCACCUGGGGAGUACGUUCGCAAGAAUGAAACUCAAAGGAAUUGACGGGGGCCCGCACAAGCGGUGGAGCAUGUGGUUUAAUUCGAUGAUACGCGAGGAACCUUACCAGGGCUUAAAUGUUAGGUGACAGAUCUAGAAAUAGAUUUUUCUUCGGACACUUAACAAGGUGCUGCAUGGUUGUCGUCAGCUCGUGCCGUG